ACAGCAGCCGCCGCGGUAAGACAGAGGAUGCAAGCGUUAUCCGGAAUGAUUGGGCGUAAAGUGUCUGUAGGUGGCUUUUCAAGUCCGCCGUCAAAUCCCAGGGCUCAACCCUGGACAGGUGGUGGAAACUACCAAGCUGGAGUAUGGUAGGGGCAGAGGGAAUUUCCGGUGGAGCGGUGAAAUGCAUUGAGAUCGGAAAGAACACCAACGGCGAAAGCACUCUACUGGGCCGACAUUGACACUGAGAGACGAAAGGUAGGGGAGCAAAUGGGAUUAGAUACCCCGGUAGUCCCUGUCUCUUAUAC
rnacentral:rRNA from 1 species